CUAUUCCACAGCCCGGUUUUCUCAAAACGAGUUCUGACUGGUGAUUGGAGAAGAGAAGCGACGCGCUUCUAACUUUUCCGCGCUUUUCGCAUACUCGCGUUUUUCGACGGAAGAACAGUGUUCAAGCUAAAAAAAAAAUUUUUUUGACUGUGGAAGGAAAAGUUUUUCUUUUCCUUCCCCACCGGUCUCCGUUUUUCAAAAACUUUUGAAAAAAAACUCAGAAAAUAAAUAAAGGAGAAAAAAGCAGCUUUCCAUUUGGAAUGAACUGUUUUUCUUCUAUCUUCAGUGGAGGACCGCAAAAAGAAUAAGAUAGUGUUUUAACCAACAGGAGAAAAGAAGAACGCAGACUUCAGCUAGAAAUUUGAGAAAACCUACGUGUGGAAAUAGUUCUUUGGCAGUAAAAGGAUUGCAGAAAGCAUUCCAUAUAUCCAAUGAAAAAUAACUCCUUCAAAUGAAAUUGAACCUUCAACCUACAGAAGUUUCAAUUUUCUGAGUUUUGACAGAUAC